GCUGGCGGUGCGCCUUAUGCAUGCAAGUUGAGCGAAGCUUUUUGGUAGUUUACUACUAGAAAUGACUGAGCGGCGAACGGGUGAGUAACGCGUGAGCAAUCUACCUUAGUUACUGGGAUAGCCCGAGGAAACUCGGAUUAAUACCGGAUAUUCUUAUUUUUUCACAUGAAGUUUUAAGGAAAGGUCAGCCGAACUAAGAUGAGCUCGCGUUCUAUCAGCUAGUUGGUGGGGUAAAAGCCUACCAAGGCUACGACGGAUAGCUGGUCUGAGAGGACGAUCAGCCACACUGGGACUGAGACACGGCCCAGACUCCUACGGGAGGCUGCAGCAGGGAAUAUUGUGCAAUGAGCGAAAGCUUGACACAGCGACACCGCGUGUGGGAUGACGGUUCUAGGAUUGUAAACCACUUUCAGGAGGGAAGAAAAUGACGGUACCUCCACAAGAAGACCCGGCCAACUAUGUGCCAGCAGCCGCGGUAAUACAUAGGGGUCAAGCGUUGUCCGGAUUUAUUGGGCGUAAAGAGCUCGUAGGCGGUUCAACAAGUCGGUCGUAAAAGUUUAGGGCUCAACCCUAAAAUGUCGAUUGAUACUGUUGUGACUAGGAUACGGUAGAGGUGAAUGGAAUUCCGAGUGUAGCGGUGAAAUGCGUAGAUAUUCGGAGGAACACCAAUUGCGAAGGCAGUUCACUGGACCGUGAUCGACGCUGAGGAGCGAAAGCUAGGGGAGCAAACAGGAUUAGAUACCCUGGUAGUCCUAGCUGUAAACGAUGGAUACUAGAUGUAGGAACUGGAUUGACGGUUUCUGUAUCGUAGCUAACGCGUUAAGUAUCCCGCCU
rnacentral:rRNA from 1 species